rnacentral:misc_RNA from 1 species
AUGGAUGUGUCAAAAAUGAGGAAUGUUGCUUGUUAUAUGAGCCACAGUUCAACUCCAAAUGUGCUUGUGCAGUUUGUGUUAUAUGAUCACAAUAAUUUGAUGUUUCCUCAUCUCAUGCUUUUUGCAAUGGAAAAUAUUCCUCCUUUGAGGGAACUUAGCCUUGAUUAUGGUGUGGCUGAUGAGUGGACUGGGAAGCUUUCUAUUUGCAACUGAAUAGGCUAGAAAAGUUUUUGGAACUUUUGUAUGUGGUGUAGCACAUCAUCGGAAGACAUAAUGUUGUGGUAAAUGUUCAAUGGUUUUGCCAUAGUUUUCUGACCCACUAUCCUGAAGUGUCUGGUCUUUGUCAUUUUACCCUGAUAACUGAUGCUGCAAAUCUCAAUAUUAUAUCAGAAUAUUUUUCUUCCUUUGAUCUCGAAGUGCUCAAGGCUCCCAGGUGGUUCAGAAUAUAUUUUUUUUCCCUAGUUGGGGGACAGGCAGGGGUCAAAAACCUGGAAAUGAAAAUCUUAACGGCUAAUAUUUGGAUGUUGCUGUUGUGAUAUCACUAACACUGUAGACAUUGUAAUACUUUAAAAGUUUCACCGGAUCUCUUGGAAGCCUUGCACCCUCUAAUCCCAUGGGGGUAGUUGCCAUAAGGCUUUUGUAAGCUUGUAUGCAUGACUGUAUGAGCUUUUUGUA